AACGAACGCUGGCGGCAUGCCUAACACAUGCAAGUCGAACGAAGCCUUCGGGCUUAGUGGCGCACGGGUGCGUAACGCGUGGGAACCUGCCUUUAGGUUCGGAAUAACUCAGAGAAAUUUGAGCUAAUACCGGAUAAUGUCUUCGGACCAAAGAUUUAUCGCCUUUAGAUGGGCCCGCGUAGGAUCAGCUAGUUGGUGGGGUAAAGGCCUACCAAGGCGACGAUCCUUAGCUGGUCUGAGAGGAUGAUCAGCCACACUGGGACUGAGACACGGUCCAGACUCCUACGGGAGGCAGCAGUGGGGAAUAUUGGACAAUGGGCGAAAGCCUGAUCCAGCAAUGCCGCGUGAGUGAUGAAGGCCCUCGGGUCGUAAAGCUCUUUUACCAGGGAUGAUAAUGACAGUACCUGGAGAAUAAGCUCCGGCUAACUCCGUGCCAGCCGCCGCAGUAAAAC
rnacentral:rRNA from 1 species